GACGAACGCUGGCGGCGUGCUUAACACAUGCAAGUCGAACGGAAAGGCCUGCUUUCCCUUGUGGAUUGCGGGUACUCGAGUGGCGAACGGGUGAGUAACACGUGAGUGAUCUGCCCCCAACUUGGGUAUAAGCCUGGGAAACUGGGUCUAAUUCCCGAUAGGACUGCAGGGUGGUGCCUGUGGUGGAAAACGAUUUUCUAGUGGUUGGGGAUGAGCUCGCGGCCUAUCAGCUUGUUGGUGGGGUAAUGGCCUACCAAGGCGGCGACGGGUAGCCGGCCUGGGAGGGUGGACGGCCACAUUGGGACUGAGAUACGGCCCAGACUCCUACGGGAAGCAGCAGUGGGGAAUAUUGGACAAUGGGCGGAAGCCUGAUGCAGCGACGCCGCGUGGGGGAUGACGGCCUUCGGGUUGUAAACUCCUUUCGACCGCGAGGAAGCCACCUGGUUGGAAGGGUGGUGACGGUAGUGGUAGAAGAAGCACCGGCUAACUACGUG
rnacentral:rRNA from 1 species